AACCCAAAUCCAUAAGUUUCUUUGAUCCAUCCUUCACUCUCAAUAAUCCUGGUUGGGUAUCUCGUUGCAUCCUUUCAAGCAAAAUCACAUAGUACAUCAUUUACAAGUAUGUUAUGUGUCAAAGUAUCACUAGAAGAAUUAUAUUAACCUUGUAUUUUGAUUAUGAAGACAAUAUACAAACAAGUCUAAAAGAACUAUUCAGAUUAACUAAUCACUUCUUCCUUGCCUGUUCAAGAACUAAUAGGAAAGCUGCACACUAACUACAACAUGUACUAUCUCUUGCAACAAAAGCCUAGUUCAUAAAUAAGCAUAAGAAACAACAACCUAAAGAUUAAUGGCAUACAAGAUAGAUACAUCAGUAAGAGCAUGACUGAAAAGUAAAAACCAACGUUGCAGUGCACAUGAACCAAAUUGUUGUGUUCAAAUAAGAGUAAGAAGUUUCUUCAAUAACACUCAUUCAAGCAAUAUAUCUAAUUCCUGAAUUACCGACCAAACGAUUAUUGCAUUGCAUUGACUAUACAUCUACUAGUGUGUGGCUAACUUACUUAGGCACAUUGUACUCUGGAUAAAGUUCAGCAACUUUGGCAACAAAAUCACCAUAGUGAGAGAUAGAUUCAACACACACAUGCCUACCAACUGCAGAUUUGUUCUCAUACACCAAAAUAUGCGCCAAUGCUACAUCCUUAAAGUGGACUGUUCCCAUAAAAAAGUUCUCAUAUGUAUCAUCACAACCUGCAACACAAAAUACAAAAUAUCACAAAUUCUCAGUAACUCCCCUAAAAAGUUAUAAAUUGGGUAGUUUGAUAUUAGUAUUCGGGUCAACAAUGAUUGUAGAUGGCAAAAUCUAAUGAAAGGAAUACAACAUAAUCAAACAAGCCUGAUACUUUUCAAGAAGUUAUCAAGUUCUAAAUGUCCUACUCAGCUAUACUAUCAACUACGCAGUAGCUGGUUUUGUAAAAUAAGCCUAAUAACUAUGUCACAGCAACUGUUGCGGCAUUUAUUUGCCAUUUUAAAACCUUGACCCCUAAAAUUCCUUUAUUCUUCUUAGUACAUUGCAAAUCCCUUUUCACACAGUUAAAAACCAAGCAAUCUACUUUUCUCUUGUGACUCAAAGAUACUUCAGUAACAAUGCCACUUCUCCAGUUCACAUUCCCAAUAUUCAGGGACACUCCUACUGCAAAAUUAGAAAGAAAUAUUUGCAAAAUCCAAUUGAUUAACCAGCAGUUUGUACCUUGAAGAAGGCGCACGAACAUGACCAUGCUUCCAUUAAGCCUCGGUGCAAUAACCGGACCCACCACAUUGCCAGGAUUCACUACUACAACAUCCAACCCAGUCUCCUUUGCAAAAUCCCAAGCUGCUUUCUCGGCCAAAGUCUUGGACAAUGGAUACCACAACUGUUGCACACACAAACACUUCACACACACAUAUAAGAAAAAGAAACAGAAACUGAAAAAAAAUGAAAACCCUUUCUAACCCCAUUUUGCUUGCAAAAUUCAACGUCAGUCCAGCAGUUCUCCGUCUUUGGAACAUCACCGGGCCAAUUGGGGCUCGGAGUAAUCGCGGAGACAGAGGACGUGACCACCACGCGACGAACUCCAGCUUCUUUCGCUGCCGUCAGCACGUUCAUGGUGCCCUUUAUCGCAGGGUCCAAAAGCUCCUUCUGCAUUAAGACCCAAAUGGGGUCAUGCAAAAACCCAAAAGAUUGAAAAUUUUCGAGGAGCUCGGGGGAACAAGACCUGGGGGUCCUGGACUUGUUCAACAGUGCAGGGAGAGGCGACAUGGAAUACGCCGGCGCAGCCGCACACGGCGGCGAGGACGGAGUCGUAGUGGAGGAGCUCCAUCUGGAAGAGGCGGAGGCGCUCCGACGCUCCAUCCAAGGCUUCUAGAUGCUUCGUCUCGCCCUCAUCGUCUGUUAGAAAAAGUUGUGUUGUGCUGUGUAAGUAUUGAGAUCAAAUGAAUGAAUAAUGAGAGUGUGGAUUGUAUUAACUGAGAUUUUGGACGGUGGCGUGAACGGUGUAGCCGCGGUCCAGAAGGAGGUGGACGAGCCAUGAACCGAUGGCGCCGCUGCCGCCGGUGACACACACCACCUUCUCCAUUUGGCAACUGUAUUCUAUCAACCUCCAGUUUUGUACUGUUCCAGUGUAAUCUGCUGAGGCAAAAAAUAAUUAUAAUUUGAAGUCAUAUCUGUACAAAAAAAUAUAUAUGAGUGGUGCAUAAUGAAUCUCAACACUCACAAAAAUCUCAUUAAAUUUUAUUAUUAUUAUAUUAUCAUCUUACAUGCACCAUAUCAGCAAAACCACAAAUUGCAUCACAUUUUGCAACAGAUGCAGGAAUUGAACCAGAAAUCAGAUGAUAGCAUAUACAAUGUUGUGAUGAAAAUUGGCAUGCUUAUUAUUAUUCAUUAAGCAAUAAUAUAUUAUAGAAGUAUUUUAAUCACUGGAUAUUGUUCUACUAGAUGUAAGAAACAGGUCAGUGACUUCUGUUGUUGAAAAAGUAGUAUAAUAGUUAUAAUAUAAUGUGAUUAAAAACCAUUUUUAUUGUUUUAAUAUACUGCUAAUACUACUAUAAUUAAUGUUAUAUUAAACGUUCAUAAUAUUAUUGUUACAACGUAAACCCACCCUUUAAUUGCAAUUUGUACUAUAUUAAAAUAUGAUGUCAACAUAUAUGUUAUUAUAUUAUUAAUGUUAUUAUCCUUUGGAUUUUUGUGUAUGUUUUUAUUUGGAUUUUCGUUUAUUCAAAAUUUUCAAGUAAAACAUUUAUUCAUUUGAGUGGAUUUUUUUAAAGGACUCAACUACGACCUGCUUCACGUGACAGAUGUUACACCUUAAGUACAUUACACCUUUAGCUCUCACAGUAUUCAAUUAACGCUUGAUUUAGCUUUCUGCAGUGUCUUUAUUCCUUAUCUUUCCUUUUGUCAUCAUUUUUAAUGUGCUUCUCUUACACUCUACUUCAUAAAGUUUAUAACCUACAACUUGCUUAAGCAACUUUCUUCUUACAUGGUUGUGCUCACACUUUACCUCAUUUGUCCUUCAUCGCAUCAGAAGUUCAGAUUGUUCACUUAUUUUUGUAAGACGUUAUUCAAAUUUUUGUUUCAAACUCUUGCAAUUUAAAUCGAUUGUUUUAUCCAAUGUUUUUUUUUUAUGGUUGUCUGUCCUUUUCAUAUCUUAUUUUCAACAAAAUGGCUUAUGAAGAACUUCUCCAUAUGUUGUUUGUUUUCACUUAUGGUUAUUGUUCUUUGUCUGCAUUCUAAUUUUUAAGUUUAAUUUUUAGUUAUCUUUAUAUUGGCAUUUCGGAUUAAAUGCAUCUUCAAUUAUUUUUGUAUGAUUUUUUUCCAUUGCUUACUUACUCUGUUUUCUAUUAAAAUUAAAACUUAUUACUUCUUUCAUGGUGGAUUUCAAGCUUUUGUGCUAAAGAAAUGACCUUUACAACUACAACAUCAGCUGUUUUCUAAAUACUUUUUGUUCUCGUUGUUUUUUUAAAAAAAUAUAAUACUAUUUAGGCAUGUAUUGUGCUCCGCUAGAUUUUAUUUAUGUGUUGUCUCAUAAAAGUCUUUCAUUUCACAGUAAAAUGUAUAGUGCAACUUAAAGAGAAAACCACUAUUUCGUUAUGUGUUCUUUUUCAUUAUAUUUUUCUCAAUUUUAUUCUAGUUGUUUUGUUUAACCUAUAUAUGCUUAUGUUGUUUUUAUGUUUUUCUUUUUUUUGUCAUAAGAUUUUGUAUUUAUGAACCUCUUAUUCAGAUUGUGUAACAUUUGAAUCUGGUUUGUUGCACACACUAACAUUGGCAGCUAAAACAAAGUUUUAUUGUUAGUUUAUAUUUACGAAUGUAUGUGUUCUUCUAUUUAUUUAUGUCCUUUCUUAUUUGACCUAUGUCUUUGACUAAUUGAUCAACACACCAAAUCUUCGCAACUACAAAAAUCUUUUAGUAUGCAAGAAUACAAUGUUGUUCCUUCUUCUUCACAAGUUUUAACAAAUUUGGUUUGCUUAUUUUGUUUUUAUGUAUUUUUGCUUUUUUUUUUAUAUGAUUAUGUAAUUAUGAACCUCUUAUGUUGUUGGAUGUCCAGAUUGUGUAACAUUUUAAUCUAAUUUGUUGCACACAAUUAGAUUGGCAGCUAAAGCAAAAUUUUAAUGUUAGUUUAUAUUUACGGAUUUCUGUGUUAUUCUAUUUAUUUAUGUCCUGUUUAUUUAACCUCUGGCUUUGAAGGAUUCAUCAACACACCAAAUAUUGGCAACUCCGUCAAGGAGAUACAUCCUAGAUUUUUUUUUUCUUCUUGUUUUCCAUGCUUGUAAUGCCCAACAUGAGUAUCUAAUUCUACCCUUUGAGAUUUGAGAUUUUCUCUUUAGUUGUUCCUCUACUCUAACACAAAGUUGAACUAAAUCAUUUAAAUCAUUAUAAGGAAAAAGUUCAACUUUAUCCUUAAUUUCAUAAUUAAGACCACUUUGGAAUCGAGCCCUAAUCCGUGCCCUUAACAUAAAUAACUCAAUUAUCUGCUUCUAUUGUUCUACAAUCAUGUUUAUAUGCGUUAACUUAUUGAGUUGUUUCAUCAACUCUCUAUCAUAUUAGGAAGGCUCAUACCUCUUCCUAAGAGCUGAUCUAAACUCAUUCCAAUACCUUAUUUAGGGAAAAUUAUGCAACCUAAGAUCUUUUGUAUAGGUGGUCCACCAAGUCAUGGUUGAAUCUUGAAAACUAAGGGUAGCUAAGGUAUCCCUCCUCUCAUGAUUUAUUUGGUGAGCCGAAAAAAAUUUCAACCUUCAUCUCCAAGGUUACGUAAUCUUCUAUAUUUGAUGAAAAAUGAAAAUAAGGAAGGUCAAUCUUAGGCUCUUUAGGCACAUGAUGGGCUCGAUGUCUAUGUUGUCUAGCAUUUUAUUGGUAGUAGUAUGUAUUGUGAUACCUACUAUAAUCAUAUUGGCUUUGGUAAGGGAUUGUAUGAUGAUUGCUUAUAUGUUUGUGAGAUCCCUCUCUUAGGAAAUCACAAAUUUAGAAAUUAUUUCUUUCAAUUCUGAAAAAUUCAUUUGCUUGUUUUGUUACUCUUUCAUAGACAUUAAAAGAAUCUUGAGUGUUUUGAUUACCAUGAACACUAGAUUGAUGUGAAGGAUCACCCAUUGUUGAAUUAAAAUAGAAAAAGUUUUCACAAAAAUUUACAAUUCAAUUGAGUGAUCAAAAUAUUUUUUGAAAAUAUUUUUUUAAUUUUUGGUGAAGUAAAUAGAUCAAGUAUGAGAGUUCUCCAAGUUCACUCCCACGAAAAGUGAGGUGAGUCACAAUGGACUACUUACAUACCAAGAGCUUAUCCCAAAUAAUUCUCAACAUAAGUUCCCUCAAAAUAAUUUUAGAAAUGAGAGUGGGUGUUUGAAUGUCGAAAUGAAACUAAAGAUCAAAGGAAGAUCUACUAAUAAGCAAAAAAAGAUAAAAAUCCUAUGUAUCACAGAUACUUAAAAGCAAGAAAAUAAAGGAAGGAAAUAAAGGAAGGAAAUAAAAGCAUGAAAUUAAAGCAAGAAAUUAAUGCUAGUGAAAAGUAAAUUAGCCGCAUCCUAAAGUUCAAGUGCAAUUGACACUAAGACUCCAGCAGCACACUUACACCACUAAUGCACAUGUAAUCUAAGAAUUUGAAGUAAAAUAAGUACAAAAGAAGAUGGACAACAAUAUAGAUAAAUAGUUAAGUGAAUCUCAAGAGAACAUUACAAAGAACUUACUUGAAAUGGACUUUAUUAAAAAUUUUAAUUUCAAGAAAUAUACUAAGUUAUGUUGGAGAUCCCACAUCGACUAGAGAUAAGGACAUUUCAUAAUAUAUAAAUGGGUGCAGACCUCAAUCUUAUGAGCCGGUUUUAUGGGGUUGAGUUAGCCUUAAAGUCCACUUCGCAAUAAGUUACUUUUAUACAUAUAGCUUAAUGAACAUAUCAAGGCAUAAGUAAGUAUAUUUGAUUAUUGUUAUAUAACAAAUUCAUUUGUAAUUCACAUUCCUAAAAGUAUUUACAAAAGAUUCGAAGUAAAGCAUGUCCUUAUCUCAAGAUGCACUACUUGUAAACAAAUAACCCAUCAUAUUCUACAUAUUCCUUUGACAAACUUGAUUACCCGAACUAGAAGUUGCUCAGUUGGAGAUCUCACAUCGACUAGGGAUUAGAGCCUUUUAUUGUAUAUAAAUGGAUGCAAACCUCAACCCUGUGAGCCGGUUUUAUGGGGUUGAGUUAGGCUUAAAGUCACAUCUCUAUCUUAGUGGAAAGUAUUGAAUAGAGUAUAAAUCAUAUACAUCUGUGUUAAAAUGAGUAUACAUCUAUAUUAAAAUGAGUGAUGUCAUUCAUACAUCUAAAGAAAUCAAUGUACAUUCUCAUUUCAUAAUAAAAAGAUAUGAAUGACAAUUACAACACAAAGACCCUACCUACCACGAGUUGGUCAUACUCUAAUCUACGCCCAUAAACUAUUUCCCGUGAGUUCUAGGCAUGGAGGCUUCUCAAUGUUUCAAGCUAUAAACAAAGACUGAGAAUUGUACACUCAAUCAUACAAUAAUAUAAAUAAAAACACAGGAAAAAUCAAUAUCCUCGCAUACAAUAACAUAAUCAAGAGGACAAAUUAUAAUAUACAUCAAAAAAUUAAUUUGGUGAAUUUAAAGACUCAACCAUACAUUCAAUCAAAUCAAAAUGUAUUUCACAAGUAUUAUUAUAGGAUAUGACAACCCAAACUAACAUCGUUUUCCUCCCUCAUCCAACGUCUACUUUCAUGACUUACUACUUAAAAGUACACCUUCAUUGAGAUUAUUUAAAAAAAAAACUUAAAUUGUUAUAUGAAGGUGCAUGGGGAAAAUAGAGAGUGGAGGAGAAUUUGCCAAACUAAUGCCCUUUUCUCUUUCCUUUUUUGUACGUAUGCAACACUUUAUAUUCUAAUUUUCAUGCACAUUUCAAUUCUUCACAAAUGACCUACAAACAAAUAGUGGUCCAUAUGCAUAAAACAAAAUGUAACUAGGGUUUCCAUUCGCAUGUAAACACCCCACGUUUUUCUUACUGUACCCAUAUAAAUUAUCCUUAUUAAUUUAUAAUAUUAUUAAUAAAUUGAAUUUUGAAAAAAUGAUUUUUCUCAUGAUUUAAAACUAAUUUGUUUAACAAUUUGAUACAUACAUUAUAUUAUAGUUAAUGAAAAUAAUAAUUAAUAACUAAAAUCUUAAUAACUAAUUAGAUACAAUUUAAAAAUUAUUUUAUAAUUUUUAUUAAUAAUAAAAACUAUUUAAAUACUAAUACUCAUUCAAUUAUAUCAAUUUCCUUCCAAAUCCUCCUCAUACAUAUAGUAAAGAAAUUGUUUUUCGUUUUCCAUGUUCUUUACACGUUUUCUAUUAAUUUCUUUGUGGACAAUAAGUUUAAGCAUUCCAUCUUCAUUUUGAAAAAAGAAACAAACAGGUGAGAGCUACUCAUACGCAAGUUCCUUUUUCAUACUAUUAGAGAAGUGUAGAUUAUGUCAUAGAAGAGCGUCUAAAGGUAACAGAGAUACAAAAAUGUGAAGACAACACAGAAACAUGACAGAAAUAGAGAUCCACCCAUGAACUAAAAUUAGGUAGAAAAUGUUUUACAAAGAUGUCUCUCGUCACUUGUUUUAGAACAAUGCAAACAUAACAACAACCACACCAACAAAUAUAACAGAUUAACAACAACAGGAAUUUGCACCAAACAUAUGUGCCAUAAGGACUCAUAUUGCAGCAGCAAUUAUGGAAGGAAUCCUUUUUUCUUCAAAUCCUCUACAGAAUCCUUAAUAAUCUCCUCAAUUGGAGUGAUUUGCAAACCCAAAUCCAUAAGUUUCUUUGAUCCAUCCUUCACUCUCAAUAAUCCUGGUUGGGUAUCUCGUUGCAUCCUUUCAAGCAAAAUCACAAAAUACAUCAUUCGCAACUAAGUUAUGCAUUAACAAUAGAUGUAUGAAGUGUGUGGGUAACUUACUUAGGCACAUUGUACUCUGGAUAAAGUUCACCAACUUUGGCCGCAAAAUCACCAAAGUGAGAGAUAGAUUCAACACACACAUGCCUACCAACUGCAGAUUUGUUCUCAUACACCAAAAUAUGUGCCAAUGUUACAUCCUUCAAGUGGACCGAUCCCAUAUAAAUGUCCUCGUAUGUUUCAUCAGAACCUGCGACGCGACAUACAAAUUUGUCUCAAAUUAUCAGUAAUUCCCCUAAAAAAAUCAUAACUUGGGGAGUUUGAUAUUAGUAUUCGAGUCAACAAUUAUACUGUGCAAAAUCUAAUGAAAAGAGUAUAGCACAAUCAAACAAGUCUAAUACUUUUCACGAAGGCAUCAAGUUCUAAAUAUCCUACACAGCUACACCAUCAACUACACUGUCGCAGGUCUUAGAAAACAUAUAAAAUAAUAAUAAAAUAAAAAUAUGAAUAAUAAAUUAAUAACAUAAUAAUAAUUAAAUAAUUAAAAUAAUAAUAAAUAAUAAACAAUAAUAAUGUUGGAGAUCUCACAUCGACUAAAGAUUAGAGUCUUUCAUUGUAUAUAAGUGGGUGCAAACCUUAAAUUUAUGAACUUGUGAGUCAUUUCAUUGUAUAUAAAUAAAUGAAAACCGAUUUUAUGGAGUUGACUUAGACUUAAAGUUUAUUUUGUAAUAAAUAAUAAAAAUAACUGAUAGUAAAAAUAUUAAAAUUAAAAUUAUAAACUAAUUAUAAUAUUAUAUUUUUUAUUUAAUUAAAUUAGUUUAUAAUAAUAUAAAUUAAUUAAUUAUUAUAUAUAUUAUUUUUAAAUUUUUUAAAAUUUAUUAUAUUUAUCAAAUUAGUAAUAAACUUAAUUCAAAAAACUUCAUUUUACUCAACUCCUCAAAUUCCCAGUAUCAAAUUUACUCUCCAUUUGAAAAAAACCCAACUUGAUACAAUGAGUUUAAAAAUAACUAUCUAAAAUAAAGAAUAAAUUUAUACUUAUAUAAUAUAAAAAAUAUAUAUUAAAAUAAUAAUAUUGAAAAUUGUAUAAAAAUACUGCAUUGUAUGAUUAUAUGAUUAACCCAAAAGAUAAAGCAUUCUCAAGCUUUUUGGGUAGUAGAAGAUUUCUUGAUACCAUAUUAUAAUAAUAUAAUAAUAUUUUAAAUUAAAAAUAAAUUAAAUAUAAUUAAAAUAUUAUUUUAAGGAUUUGUCAAGUGGAUUUUUUUAUUAUUGUAUGACCACCCAUUUUAGAACUUUUCCAGUUCACAUUUCCAAUAUUGAAGGAAACUCCUGCUGCAAAAAUAGAAAGAAAUAUUUGGAAAAUCCAACUGAUUAAGCAUUAGUGUCUCUACCUUGAAGAAGGCGCAAGAGCAUGAGCAUGCUUGCAUUAAGCCUGGGUGAAAUAAUCGGACCCAUCACAGUGCCAGGAUUCACUACAACAACAUCCAACCCACUCUCCUUUGCAAAUUCCCAAGCUGCUUUCUCCGCCAAAGUCUUCGACAAUGGAUACCACAACUGUUGCACACACAAACACUUCACACACCAACACAUAUAAGAAAAAGAAACAGAAAAUGAAAAAAAUGAAACCCUUUCUAACCCCUUUUUGCUUGCAAAAUUCAACGUCAGCCCAGCAGUCCUCCCUCUUUGGAACAUCACCGGGCCAACUGGGGCUCGGAAUAAUCGCCGAGACGGAGGACGUGACCACCACGCGACGCACUCCUGCUUCUUUCGCUGCCGUUAAUACGUUCACGGUACCCUUUAUCGCCGGGUCCAGAAGAUCCUUCUGCAUGAAGACUCAAAUGGGAUGAUGAAAAAACCCAAAAGAUUGAAAAUUUGUGAAGAGAUCGAGGAAACAAGACCUGGGGAUCCGAGACUUGAUCAACAAUGCAGGGAGAGGCGAGGUGGAAAACGCCGGCGCAGCCGCGCAUGGCAGCGAGUACGGAGUCAUAGUGGAGGAGCUCCAUCUGAAAGAGGCGGAGGCGCUCCGACGCUCCAUCCAAGUCUUGUAGAUGCUUUGUCUCGGCCUCAUCGUCUGUUAGAAAAGUUGUGUUGUGCUGUGUAAGUAUAUAUUGGGAUGAAACGAAUGAAUAAUAAAAGUUUGGAAUGUGCUAACUGAGAUUUUGGACGGUGGCGUGAACGGUGUAGCCGCGGUCCAGAAGGAGGUGCACGAGCCAUGAACCGAUGCCGCCGCUGCCGCCGGUGACACACACCACCUUCUCCAUUUUGCAGCUGUAUUCUAAGAUGCACUACUUGAAGAACUCCACUGUACUAAGAUAAUGAUGACACGUGUAAGAGAGGAAGAAACAAAGAAAACGAAAGACAGCCACAGAAAGAACAGAGAAAAAAUGAAAACGACGUUCAGAUAAAAGGCAAAAAAUGACCGAAGCAAACAGUUCCAAACAGCAAAAUAUUAGGUUUUAUUUUUUAGUGACUAAAUUAAUAUUGAAUUAUAAAUUUUUAAAGAAUACUUGUAUAAUGUAAUUGUCAUAUUUCUCUAUUAUGUAGAAUUGUAGUGAAAUGGAGGUUAAAUAAUGGUGCCCAACUUGCUAGCUGAAGGUUUUAAAAGGCAAGGAAAAAAUGAUAGCAAAUUAACCGUCAUGUACAAAAAAAGUGGUGGUCCCACAAUCACAAAAAUAGCAUAUAAAUUAAAUAAAAGAACUGACACGUAGAGUUUAGUGUAAUUUGAUGAUUUAUUUAUAAAUUAUUAUUUAUGGUUAUUUUACUGAUUUUUGUAAUAAGUAUUUGAUAUAGUUUAGGAGAGGAUAUGGUAUGCUUUAAUAAGAGGAUUUGAGCACACUUAAGCUUAAAUGAGUGUAUAUAAGCAACAAAAGAAAGAAAAAUAAAUCUAUACAAUUGUUGGAUCAUUCCAAGACUCAAUCAUAGAGGAACACAAACUCAUAGUAGAUAAUUUUUUCUUUUCAUUAAUUUAAUUUCCAACUCAUUGAGAUAAUUAUAAAAGCGUUUCUAUCCAUAACAUUAUGACAAAAUGUAGAGUACACCUUAUUUUCUUAAUAUAUAUAAUUUGACUUUUAUUAACCAAGUGGGCUUCUUCAAUGCCUAAAUCAUUUUAAUAUUUGGCUCCAUUAUUGUGUACCUGUUUCUCAUUUUCUGGUUCUUAUCUCAGACCAACUAAAGCCCACCACGUAUCGUUUCCCAAUUUUUACUUUAUGCAUAUGGACCCGCUUUUUGUUUGUUGCUAUUUUACUUUAUUCCUUUUCAUUUUAUUUUUAAUUCAAAAUAUUAUUAUAUUAUUAUAAGUGUUUGUUAAGUGUAUCUUAUUUACUGUUUUUUAUUGUUUAUGGUUUUAAAGAAACUUUUCUCUUUUGUCAUACAUUCACAUGGGGAGUGCUCAUUUGUUUGCAUGAAAAUUGAAAUACUAAGAGUUGCAGAUGUACAAGAAAGAAAGAGUAGCUCUAAACAAAGAAUAACUUUAUUUUUUAAAAUAAUUUCAGUAACAUUCUUAUAACUUUCUUUUAUUUACAGUACUUUCAUUCUUAUGUCGUAAAAUUAGAAAAAGUAGUUUUUUAUCAAUCAAUAUCGAACGGGUGAGUCAUUUAGUUUCGGAAAUCGAUCAACUGCGUUAAAAUACAUUUAAUACACUCAAUAAAUGACUAUUGUUACAAUUAUGAAAACUUCCGACAAAUCAAAGUCAUAUUCCAUCGAAUUUGGGUGACACCCCCAAGAAAAUAGCUAAUAUUGAUUUAUUGAAGAUAUUCUCCAAAUAUACAUCUCUAUAAUUCAAGGAAUCCCCUAAAAAGCCACUUAACACUGAUAUUUGAUAAAUGCGGUUCAUCACACAAAAUGACUCAUGACUAAACAUUAUAAAUAAAUAUUUUACAAAAGAGGAAUGUAUGUUUUUUAUCAGUUUCACUAUACACUCUUAACACAAGGUACUCACUUGAUCGUCGAAAAAUCUUUUGCAAGUUAACUCCUAAUCGACUAUUGAGAAAUUGAGGAUAGGGAGUCUUGAAGUUUGAAGGAGUGAAGUACUAAGGAGCAAGGGAGGGACCGACAACCAAAACAAUUGUUACAGUCAAUCCCAUGUACUAUUUAUGCUCACUUUGUCAAUACAAGUACAAGUUCCAUCAUUUCAACGUGUGUAAGAGGCUUGACGAGAAGAUUUGUUGUAUUCGACAUUCCCCAAUGCGAAGAUAAUUUUUUUUUUUUAGUUUUAUACUUCAUUUUUGCACAUCAUUUUUUUAUGAAUUUUGUGGCUUCCAAAAAAAGAAAAAAAAUAAAUGAAUAAAAACACAGUCACCAUGAGCAAUCACCAUCACUUGAAAAUGAAGAAGACACAACACUCUCCAUCAAAUAUUGUUGGAAUUAAAAAAGAGUAUGGAAGUGGAGAAUGAAGGUACGGAGAUGCAAGGAGAAUUUGCCAUCAAUUUUGUGCAUAUGGGAUUACUUUUUGCAUCACAUUUUGGUAUCACCCUUCCUUCAUAGGUGUUUCUUUCUGCACCUCUACAUUUUUCUUCUUGCACCUCUACAUUUUUCUUCUUGCACCCCUACAUUCAUGUGUAAUUACAAAGUAUCUCUAAGACAUCUAAAAAAACCCAAAAGGAGCAUAUCUCACUCUUUCUUUCUUCCUUUUCUACAAUUGUUGUGCACCUUGUUCAAGGAGCGAACAAAGGACAAUAAGUGGUAAUGCAUUGGGAUGUUGUUGGUGGUUCAUUUUCUGAAAUCUUGAUGGUGGUUAGAUGAUUUCUAAGAUGACUCUGUAUUAAGAAAAGAAGAUAAGUAAUAUUAUUUUUUGUUUACACUGUAUUGAGAAAAGAAGAUAAGUAAUAUUAUUUUUUGGUUACAUAUUGGAUGUUUAAUUUUUUAACUAAUUUUGAAUUCCGUAAUGCAACUUUUAGGAUUUCAGAGACAAGUGAGUCCGUAAUAGAGCACAUUGAUCCAAGAAUUAACUAGAUUGGUGUAUUUGUGUGGUUAUUUACACUUUAUAAACAUGGUUGUAAUUCCUAGCUGUAAUGGCAAAUAGAAAACUCUUGUAGCAGCCAAAUGGAUCCAGACUUUUUUUGUAAAAAACGUGGUGCCCCACUUGCAGCAAACAGAAAAUAACGAGUAAAUAAAAAAAUAGGGUUUGCAGGAAAUAUAGAAAACAAUGAGGAAAGAAAAGAAUGGCAUGUGAAGGCACUGUAAGGAAGGGUGAUGCCACAUCGUGAUCAGAAUGAGUGGUUGUGAUGGAUGAAUGAAUAAUUAAGAUUCCUUCACAUUCUAAACAGUAUCUCACUUUCAUUCUCUAACCAUUUAUAGUAAUAUCCCCACGUAUUCUUUCUUCUUUUAUAACAAAAACAAAAACAACCACCCCUUUUCUCUUUUCUUUUUUAAUUUACUACUUUUAAUAUUAUUAUUUUAAUAUUUUUUUAUAUCAUUUAAUUAUAAAUCAUUCUUUUAUUCUGCUCUCCAUGUGAAUGUUUGAAGAGUAAAUCAUCUAGGUGUCAAAAAGAACAUUGACAUAUUGGUUUAUAAUUAAAAAUUCUUGAUUCUACAUAUUUUUAACUUUGAGUAGGAAGUUGAUGUUAUAUUAUUAUGUUUAUAUUUAUUAGUUCAAAUUUAAUUGAAUUGAAUAACUGAUUUUUUUCUUUAAUUUAUAAUAGAAUUAAACAAUUAUUAAAAUAAUUCAUAUUUAUUAAAACUAACCACACCAACAAAAGUUUAACGAUACAUAUGAUAGUGCCUCAUUUUAGAACUAAGAGGAAUUUGCAGCAAACAUGUGGCUUUUAGGACUCGUAUUGCAGCAGCAAUUAUGCAAGGAAUCCUUUUUUCUUCAAAUCUUCUACAGCAUCCUUAAUAAUCUCUUCAAUUGGAGUGAAUUGCAAACCCAAAUCCAUAAGUUUCGUUGAUGCAUCCUUCACUCUCAGUAAUCCUGGUUGGGUAUCUCGUUGCAUCCUUUCAAGCAAAAUCACAAACUACAUCAUUUACAAGUACGUUAUGCAUUAACAAUACAUGUAUGAAGUGUGUGGGUAACUUACUUAGGCACAUUGUACUCUGGAUAAAGUUCACCAACUUGGGCUGCAAAAUCACCAAAGUGAGAGAUAGCUUCAGCACACAGAUGCCUACCAACUGCAGAUUUGUUCUCAUACACCAAGAUAUGUGCCAAUGCUACAUCCUUAAAGUGGACCGAUCCCAUAAAAAUGUUCUCAUAUGUUUCAUCAGAACCUGCCACGCCACAUACAAAAGGUCACAAAUUCUCAGUAAUUCCCCUAAAACAUCAUAAAUUGGGUAGUUUCAUGUUAAUAUUCCGGUCAACGAUUAUAGAUUAUAUGGUAAAAAAUUUAAUAAAAAAAAAGUGUAGUGAUUUUCACGAAUUAUAAAUGUCCUACGCAUCUAUACCAUCGACCAAGUUGUAGCAGGUCUUGUGAAAUUAGUCUAAUAGUUAGGUAACAACAACAGUAGCCCUAUUCACAUUAUACCAUUUUAAUCAGUUAAAAAUGUAUGCAUCAUUCAUCACAAGAUCCCUAACAUGGUGUUAAAUAGUGGUAUGCGACUAUGACUUUAGUGGUUCCGUCCACAGAUUUGGACGGAUGAAUACAAACAGAAAGCAUGAAAAUCAAAAGUAAAAAAUUGUUAGAUUCUUUCCUCGCAUAGCUGUGAGGAGUAGCAAAGAAAGUUGAAUAAACAUUAUAAUCAUAUAUUUACAAUAAAAUAUAUAUUCUAUAACGGAUCAUUACAUAGUCUGAUGACAUAUAUUUAUCAAAUAAUCCAUUUUUUUAAUAAUAUAAUUGAUUAUGGAAUAUACAUGUUAUUAUAUUUUUAUAUAAUUAUUAUAUUAUAUAUAUACACUAAAAAAAAUAUAAAUAUAGUAAAAAAAAUAAUUAGUUGUUAUAAUAACUAAAUUAGAAAUUAUUUUAAAAACUAAAAAAAAUAAUUUUUAAAUUAGUUUAUAUUAUUAUUAAAUAGUUUUGUAAUUUGUAUUUAAUUAGCUACCAAGGUUUUAACUCCCAAUUAUUUAAUUUCUAAAUUUGGUCGUAAAAAUUUUGGUUGCUAAUUAAAUACUAAUUUAAAAAUUAUUUAAUGAUAAUACAAACUAAUUUAGAAACUAAAGUUUUUUUUUCUCUAAAAUGAUUUAUAAUUUAGUUACUAUAUCAACUAAAUAUUUUUUAUUCUCUAAACAUAGUUUUCUAUUUGAUGUUUUUUUUUAGUGAUAUUAUUAAUUGAUUAAUAUUUGUAUUUUUAUUCUAAACAUAAUUAAUUAUACAAUAUAAUACAAUGUAAUAAUAAUAAGUAGUCAAACAAUAAAGAAAUAUAAAAUAAUAAUAAUAAAAUAGUCUCUACCUUGAAGAAGGUGCAAAAGCAUGAGCAUGCUUGCAUUAAGCCUCGGUGCAAUAACCGGACCCAACACCAUCCCAGGAUUCACUACAACAACAUCCCACUCACUCUCCUUUGCCAAAUCCCACGCUGCUUUCUCGGCCAAUGUCUUCGACAAUGGAUACCACAACUGUUGCACACACAAACACUUCACACCCCAACACAUAACAAAAACAAACACAAAAUUCAAAAAAUGAAAACCCUUUCUAACCGCUUUUUCCUUGCAAAAUUCAACGUCAGUCCAGCACUCCUCCUUCUUUGGAACAUCACCGGGCCAAUUGGGGCUCGGAACAAUCGCGGUGAUGGAGGACGUCACCACCACGCGACGCACUCCAGCUUCUUUCGCUGCCGUUAGCACGUUCACGGUGCCCUUUACCGCCGGGUCCAGAAGAUCCUUCUGCAUGAAGACCCAAAUGGGAUGAUGCAAAAACCCUAAAGAUUGAAAAUUUGCAAGAAGAUCGAGAGAACAAAACCUGGGGGUCCUGGACUUCAUCAACAAUGCAGGGAGAGGCGAUGUGGAAUACGCCGGCGCAGCCGCGCAUGGCUUCGAGUACGGAGUCGUAGUGGAGGAGCUCCAUCUGGAAGAGGCGGAGGCGCUCCGACGCUCCAUCCAAGGCUUUUAGAUGCUUUGUCUCGGCCUCAUCGUCUGUUAGAAAAGUUGUGUUGUGCUGUGUAAGUAUAUAUUGGGAUGAAACGAAUGAAUAAUGAGAGUGUGGAAUGUACUAACUGAGAUUUCGGACGGUGGCGUGAACGGUGUAGCCGCGGUCCAGAAGGAGGUGGACGAGCCAGGAAGCGAUGGCGCCGCUGCCGCCGGUGACACACACCACCUUCUCCAUUUUGCAACUUAAUUCUAACACGAAAACGAUCACUAGAGACUUGAGAAGUCCACUUUGAAAUCAAGAGAAGAAGAAAGAAACAAGUGUAAUGAUGUGACGAACAUACACAUUUUUAUAGAAUAAUAUCACUUCAAUACUAUUAUUUUAAACAUCUAUACAUCCGUAUUUUAUUAUUUUAUUCAAUUUUUAUGUUAAAUUUCAUAAAAAAUUAACAUUAAAUAUAUAAAAAAUAUUACUUAAAAAAUAUUUAUUUUCUUUUUCAAUUUGAGUUUUUUUUUUUUUGAAGUUUUUACUCUUCUUCCAUUGAUAGUUUUGGAAUGAGAGAGUAUAAUGAUGAUAAUGAUUUUAUAAAAAAAUAUAAUUGUUUCUAAUGAGGAAUUGAAAAUAAAUGUUAUUUUAUUUGUUAAAUUUUAUGUAAAAACUUGAUCGUAUGUUUUAUUUUUUUCUUUUGUCUUAAAAUUAAGAAAAGAGUAGGAGAUGUGCAUAUGCAAUAAUAUUAAAAUAAAAAAUAGUUUUAAUUUUUAAUUAAUUUAUAUAAAAUAAUAAAAUAUUUAAUUAUAUUAAUAAAAUGAGAUAUAUUAAAUAAAGAUAAAAUAAAUUAUACACUAAAAAUCGAUUAUAAUAAAAAAAUUAUAUAUAGAUAUAAAUAUUUUUUUAUAUUAUUUAAUUUCAAAGUUAGUCUUUAUUAUAUAUAUUUAAUUGUCAAACUGUAUUAAAAAAAAAAGACAGGGACAGUAGAAUUAAUUUGACAGAAAACGAAAGACAUGGAAAAUUUGACAACAAAAAUAUCGAAAUCAGCAAUGCAGAAUUAAUUAUAGGAAAGUUGGUGAGUACGAAAACCAAUCCAAUUUUUUAAAGGAUCCGGAUUUUUGACAACGUACGCAUCGUAUAACUCUGAAAAAAUCUUAAUAUUUUAAUAGUGUGUGAUCUUCUGUCAUAUUGGAAUCUUUUUCUUAUCUUUUUUGUAGUUUUCAUAUUUUGAGGUUUCUUUCUUUUUUUUAAGCUUCACUAUGUAUUUGCAAAUUUUUCUUUGUGCACUGAAACAUUUAUUUUUUCUUCUGUAUUGUUUUUAUUUGAUCUCGGUUUUAUUUAUUGUUAUCGUUAUUCAUAAUAAUAUUAUUUUUAUUAAUACUAUUAUUAAAAUUAAUAAUAAUACUAAUACUAAUAUUAAUAAUAAUUUAAAUAAUAAAAAUAAUUUUAAUAUUACUACUAAUUAUAAUAAUAUUAUUAUUAUUAGUAAUAAUAUUAGUAUUAGUAGUAAUUAUAAUAAUAAUAAUUAUUAUUAUUAUAAUAAUAUUUUUUAACUAGUGUUAUUUAUUUAUCUUUAUAUUCUUACAAUUCCGAUUUAAUUUAGUCAAAUAUAUUCUUAAAGAAAAAAAAUAUUUAUUGUCAAACAUAAUUUUGAAUUGGAUUUUUUGACAUCAUUGUUAUAAUUUUAUUCAAAAUGAUUUUUUUUAUGUUUAAAUUUCAUAUUGUGAUUAAAUUUAGUAUGAAAGAUUUUAUUUAUUGAAGUACUGAGCAAUUGGACUCGAGUAUGAUUGAGGUUAAUCCGUUGGUCAUUUAAAAAAAUGGUUUAGGAAGUGGUGACCUAGUCUAACGGUUAGAGAGGAUGAUGAAUAAGGUGAAUUGAGUUUGUUUAUAACACAUUAAAUUUAUUAUUCACAUGAAAUUUAUUUUUCACAUGAAAAAUGAAAUCUAUUACUUUAAACAUGAUUGUUAAUAUGGAUAACAAAGACCUACUAACUAAUAAAAUUGUCUUAAAUCAUAAAUUAAAAUUAUUCUACACAACUACAAGUUGGAUUGAUUCGUUAUAAUAAUUGUACACGGAUAACAGUAACAUUAGAGAAAUUCAGCUUGUACGAGACUGUUUUCUCAAUGCCUUGUUUGAGAUUUUAUAUUUUGUUUGACUGUGUGGCUUUGUCGGUAUGGUAGACGUUCCUUGGUAGAAAGAGGAUAAAGUACAAAUUUGUAUAAGGGUUAGACCACUAUGUAGUGGUUCAUAUUUAUUAUUUUUUAUUGAUAAUAAAAAAACAAUUUUAUUAUCAUUUUAUUUUAUUUAUUUUGAUGGAUGUAUUACAAUAGUAUAAUAAAUUAUUAUAGAAUCAUAAUUUUGUAUUAGUUUUUUUUUACGUUCAAGUUAUAUUUAGUAUGUAUUUUUUUAAAAUAAAAUCAUAUUUAUAGAUUUUUGAACUUAUUGAAAUAUCGAAUAAAAUUAUUUGAAAAAUCUAUUAUUGAAUAUUAUAGAUCAUUCCAAGACUCAAUCAUAGAGGAACACAAACUCAUAGUACCAAAGGAUAACUUUUUUUUCAUUAAUUUAAUUUCCAACUCAUUGAGAUAAUUAUAAAAGCAUUUCUAUCCAUAACAUUAUGACAAAAUGUAAAGUACACUUUAUUUUCUUAAUAUAUAUAAUUUGACUUUGAUUAACCAAGUGGGCUUGCUGAUAAAAAAAAAACCAAGUGGGCUUCUUCAAUACCUGCAUCAUUUUAAUAUUUGGUAACAUUGUUUAUGGUUUCCCAAUUUUUACUUUAUGCAUAUGGACCCACUUUUUGUUUGUUGCUAUUUUACUUUAUUCAUUUUCAUUUUAUUUUUAAUUCAAAAUAUUAUUAUAUUAUUAUAAGUGUAUCUUAUUUACUGUUGUUUAUUGUUUAUGGUUUUAAAGUAACUUUUCUCUUUUGUCAUACAUUCACAUGGGGAGCGCUUAUUUGUUUGCAUGAAAAUUGGAAAUAAGGAGUUGAAGACGUACAAGAAAGAAAGAGUAACUCUAAAUAAAAGAAUAACUUCACUUUUUAAAAUAAUUAGUACGUUGAACCGUGGAACGCACGGGAAUUUUUUCAAUAUUUUAUAUGUAAAUAUUAAUAUUAAAAUUAAUAAUUUAAUUUAUUUAUAUAUAAUUUCAGUUAUACUUCCGUAUUUUUAUAUCUUUCUUAUAUAUUUUUAGUUGUAAUAUUUGAAAAAGUAGUUUUUGGAUCGAUCAAUACCAAAUGAGUGAGUUAUUUCACUUUGAAAAUUUAUCAACCACAUUAAAAUACAUUUAAGACACUCAAUAAAUGAGUUGCAACAAUUAUGAAAACUACCUACAAAUCAAAGUCAUAUCCCAUCUCGGUGAUACUCCGGGAAAAUAAUUAAUAUUAAUUUAUUGAAUAUAUUAUCUAAAUAUACAUAUCUAUAAAUCAGGGAAUCUCCUUAAAAAAUCACUUAACACUGAUAUUUGAUAAAUUCGACCCAUAACAAGAAAUGACUCAUGAGUAAACCCUUUACAAAGAAGGAAGAUACGCUUUUGAUCAAUUUCACUAUACACUCUUAACACAAGGUACUUACUUGAUCGUUGAAAAACCUUUUGCAAGUUAACUCCUAAUCGACUAUUGAGAAAUUGAGGAGAAGGAGUCUUGAAGUUUAAAUGAGUGAAGUACUGAGGAGCAAGGGAGGGACCGACAACCAAAACAAUUGUUACAGUCAAUCUCAUGUUAUAUCUAGUCUCACUUUGUCUAUACAAGUACAAGUACCAUAAUUUCAUCGUGUGUAAGAGGCUUGACGAGAAGAUUUGUUGUAUUUGACAUUCUCUAGUGGAAAGACAAUUUUUUUAGUUUUGUACUUCAUUUUUACACAUUGUUUUUUUGUGGUUUCCAAAAAAAAAAAAAACAAAACAAAAACAGAGUCACCACCGAACAAUCAUCAUCACUUGAAAAUGAAGAAGAUACAACACUCUCCAUCAAGUAUUGUUGGAAUUAAAAAAGAGUAUGUAAGUGGAGGAUGAAGAUAUGGAGGUGCAAAGAGAAUUCGCCAUCAAUUUUGUGCAUAUGGGACUACUUUUUUCAUCACAUUUUGGUAUCACCCUUCCUUCAUGGGUGUUUCUUUCUGCACCUUUAUAUUUUUCUUCCUGCACCCCAACAUUCAUGUGCAAUUACAAAAGUAUCUCUAAGACAUCUAAAAAACCCAAAAGGAGCAUAUCUCACUCUUUCUUUCUUCCUUUUCUACAAUUGUUGUAAAAAACGUGGUGGCCCACUUGCAGCAAACAGCAAAUAAUGGGCAAAGAAAACACGAUGACCCCACUUGCAGCAAACAGAAAAUAAUGAGUAAAUAAAAAAAUAGGGUUUGCAGGAAAUAUAGAAAAGAAUGAGGAAAGAAAAGAAUGGCAUGUGAAGGCAUUGUAAGGAAGGGUGAUGCCACAACGUUAUGAGAAUGAGUGGUUGUGAUGGAUGAAUGAAUAAUUAAGAUUCUUUCACAUUCUAAACAGUAUCUCACUUUCAUUCUCUAACCAUUUAUAGUAACAUCCCCACUUAUUCUUUCUUCUUUUAUAACAAAAAACAUAAACAACCACCCCUUUUUUCUUUCCUUUCUUUUAUUUACUACUUUUUUUAUAUCAUUUAAUUAUAAAUCUUUCUUUUGUUCUGAUCCCCAUGUGAAUGUCUGAAGAGGAAAUCAUUUAGGUGUCAAUAAGAACAUUGACAUAUUGGUUUAUAAUUAAAAAUUCUUGAUUUUGCAGACUUUAACUUUGAGUAGAAAGUUGAUAUUAUAUUAUUAUGUUUAUCUAUUUAUUAACUCAAAUUUAUUGAAUUGAAGAACUGAUUUUCUGCUUUGAUUUGUAAUAGAAUUAAACAAUUUUUAAAAUAAUUCAUAUUUAUUUAUUCCUUCAUACUAAUAAUAAAACUAACCACACCAACAAAAGUUUAACAACACAUAUGAUCGUGCCUUAUUUUACAACAACAGGAAUUUGCACCAAACAUAUGUGCCAUAAGGACUCAUAUUGCAGCAGCAAUUAUGGAAGGAAUCCUUUUUUCUUCAAAUCCUCUACAGAAUCCUUAAUAAUCUCCUCAAUUGGAGUGAUUUGCAAACCCAAAUCCAUAAGUUUCUUUGAUCCAUCCUUCACUCUCAAUAAUCCUGGUUGGGUAUCUCGUUGCAUCCUUUCAAGCAAAAUCACAAAGCACAUCAUUUACAAGUAAGUUAUGCAUUAACAAUACAUGUAUCAAGUGUGUGGCUAACUUACUUAGGCACUUUGUACUCUGGAUAAAGUUCACCAACUUUGGCUGCAAAAUCACCAUAGUGAGAGAUAGCUUCAACACACACAUGCCUACCAGCUGCAGAUUUGUUCUCAUACACCAAAAUAUGUGCCAAUGCUACAUCCUUAAAGUGAACCGAUCCCAUAAAAAUGUCCUCAUAUGUAUCAUCACAACCUGAGACGCAAC
rnacentral:lncRNA from 1 species